UACGUAGGGGGCAAGCGUUGUCCGGAAUUAUUGGGCGUAAAGAGCGUGUAGGCGGUCCGGUAAGUCAGCUGUGAAAGUCAAGGGCUCAACCCUUGAAAGCCGGUUGAUACUGUCGGGCUAGAGUCCGGAAGAGGCGAGUGGAAUUCCCGGUGCAGCGGUGAAAUGCGCAGAUAUCGGGAGGAACACCAAUGGCGAAGGCAGCUCGCUGGGACGGUACUGACGCUGAGACGCGAAAGCGUGGGGAGCAAACAGG
rnacentral:rRNA from 1 species